GAAAGCCUGAUGCAGCCAUGCCGCGUGUAUGAAGAAGGCCUUCGGGUUGUAAAGUACUUUCAGUUGUGAGGAAGGGGGUAACGUUAAUAGCGUUAUCUCUUGACGUUAGCAACAGAAGAAGCACCGGCUAACUCCGUGCCAGCAGCCGCGGUAAUACGGAGGGUGCGAGCGUUAAUCGGAAUUACUGGGCGUAAAGCGCAUGCAGGUGGUUCAUUAAGUCAGAUGUGAAAGCCCGGGGCUUAACCUCGGAACUGCAUUUGAAACUGGUGAACUAGAGUGCUGUAGAGGGGGGUAGAAUUUCAGGUGUAGCGGUGAAAUGCGUAGAGAUCUGAAGGAAUACCAGUGGCGAAGGCGGCCCCCUGGACAGACACUGACACUCAAAUGCGAAAGCGUGGGUAGCAAACAGGAUUAGAUACCCUGGUAGUCCACGCCGUAAACCGAUGUCUACUUGGAGGUUGUGGGCUUGAACCGCGGCUGUUUUUGGGAAACCGUUAAGUAGACCGCCUGGGGAGUACUGUCGCAAGAUUAAAACUCAAAUGAAUUGACGGGGGCCCG
rnacentral:rRNA from 1 species